GACAGCAUAAACCUGGAAACACUAGAAGUAAAGGUGUUUGUUUGUGUGUUUUGUUUUUCAAUAAGAUGAACAUACUUAGAAUGAGUGAUUUUCUUUUAAAAUUGGUCAUGUUUCUACUUUUCCUUCUGUUUAUAAGUUUCACGCGUAUUUUAUGAGUUAAAAGAAGAAAGCAGGACCAUUUUGGGUACGGGCCGAGGCAAGAGUUCCUGUUGCUUUGGAUUCUGACUUCUGGGUCUGAAUUGAGGGCAGAUGGCAAAUAUGGCAAAUGCGGGUGAAGGGAGCUUUAUGAGAGUUCACAGGUUCCCCAGUAAACCAACCAUGCACGAGUAAAGAGGGAUGUGAGGCUGGCCGUGCUGCCCUGUUCCCACCGAGGAUACAACCCUUCCUUUGUGUCCUCCAGGAACUCCAAGCCUCAGAAGUCGCAGGAUUGGAGGGUGGACUUCUCUCCGCUGGAAAAGACUCUUGGGCCAGGCAAAUGCUGGAAGACACCAAGACCUGAUACUAACAGCUAAUACUCACUUAGAACUUCCCUGGGCCAAGCACUAUCCUGAAAUUUCAAGUACAUAUGCAUGUACCCUCCGACCCCAUGUGGGAGCUCUUAUUAAGUACAGCUGCAUCAUGAAAAAGAAUAGCCACUCUUCCCCCUUGGCUGUUUCAACUCAACGAUGAAGGAAAUGAAGAGAAAUCUGGGAAGAAAGUUCUCCCUUCUCUGCCUUCAGAACUCUUGUAGAGGCAGAGCAUGAACAGUUGAACGGAGAAAUUCAGCAUUUGUACUUUUUGUUUGGGGCUCUAAUCACUGGAACAAACUCGAGAAAAGAAAACAGAGCCCAGAGGAAUGAGGAAUAAUUUACAGUUAAGCCCAUGAAGAUGAAAGGGAGAGAGCAAAGAGGGAAUUCAGGACUUCGCAAGAGUUCAGCCUGACCUGCUCCCCAGUCUUGUUGACGUCCUGACGAAGCUGAAUGUCGCUCUAACCCACUGCGGGCUCCGAGGGCGGGCCUCCAUCUUUGCUUUCUGCUCCUCUAAGAAGUGCAGCAAGAGGACCUCUGGGAAUUUGAAGUUAUUUUUUCCUGCCUGGCUUUUUUCAAAACUGCUCCUUCCAGUCUCUUUUGUCUGUAAUGAUUUUUUAAAAAAUUUUGCCAAGUUCUUAU
rnacentral:lncRNA from 1 species